AGUGAACGCUGGCGGUAGGCCUAACACAUGCAAGUCGAACGGCAGCACAGUAAGAGCUUGCUCUUACGGGUGGCGAGUGGCGGACGGGUGAGGAAUACAUCGGAAUCUACUUUUUCGUGGGGGAUAACGUAGGGAAACUUACGCUAAUACCGCAUACGACCUACGGGUGAAAGCAGGGGAUCUUCGGACCUUGCGCGAUUGAAUGAGCCGAUGUCGGAUUAGCUAGUUGGCGGGGUAAAGGCCCACCAAGGCGACGAUCCGUAGCUGGUCUGAGAGGAUGAUCAGCCACACUGGAACUGAGACACGGUCCAGACUCCUACGGGAGGCAGCAGUGGGGAAUAUUGGACAAUGGGCGCAAGCCUGAUCCAGCCAUACCGCGUGGGUGAAGAAGGCCUUCGGGUUGUAAAGCCCUUUUGUUGGGAAAGAAAAGUAGCAGGUUAAUACCCCGCUGUUCUGACGGUACCCAAAGGAUAAGCACCGGCUAACUUCGUG
rnacentral:rRNA from 1 species